rnacentral:misc_RNA from 1 species
AACAUCGAGGUUUCCUCGGAUUUGGACGUUGCCGGCGAAACGACUGUCGGCUCGUCUCGAAAUGCAUUAGCUAGAGUGCUUCGCAGGCACGGCGUUGAUAAUUUCCACGUCGAGUCUUCGGGCGCCCUGCUUCCAAUCGCCUUCGGGCAAUUUACACCAAGUUUGACCUCGGAUCGGGUGGGACUACCCGCUGAACUUAA